CGGGUGAGUAACGCGUGAGGAACCUGCCUCAAAGAGGGGGACAACAGUUGGAAACGACUGCUAAUACCGCAUAAGCCCACGGCUCGGCAUCGAGCAGAGGGAAAAGGAGCAAUCCGCUUUGAGAUGGCCUCGCGUCUGAUUAGCUAGUUGGUGAGGUAACGGCCCACCAAGGCGACGAUCGGUAGCCGGACUGAGAGGUUGAACGGCCACAUUGGGACUGAGACACGGCCCAG
rnacentral:rRNA from 1 species